CACCUGCCCAGUGACAAGUUUCAACGGCCGGGUAUUUUGACCGUGCGAAGGUAGCGCAAUCACUUGUCUUUUAAAUGAAGACCUGUAUGAAUGGUAGAACGAGGGCUUAACUGUCUCCCCUGUCAAGUCAAUGAAAUUGAUCUGCCCGUGCAGAAGCGGGCAUACUAAUACAAGACGAGAAGACCCUUUGGAGCUUUAGAUCUCAGCGCCACCUAUGUCAAGAAUAACAAAAUUCAACCAAACUAAAUAGUACCUGGCCUUAAUCUUUUGUUGGGGCGACCGCGGGAAAAAAUAAAGCUCCCACGAGGACUGGACAACAACUCCUAAAACCAAGAAAGACAUUUCCAAGUCACAGAACAUCUGACCUUAAAGAUCCGGCAACCUGCCGACCAACGGACCAAGUUACCCUAGGGAUAACAGCGCAAUCCCCUCCCAGAGUCCAUAUCGACAAGGGGGUUUACGACCUCGAUGUUGGAUCAGGACAUCCUAAUGGUGCAGCCGCUAUUAAGGGUUCGUUUGUUCAACGAUUAAAGUCCUACGUGAUC
rnacentral:rRNA from 1 species